GGCCGACUAGCUCAGCUGGUUAGAGCGUGGUGCUAAUAUGGUGAUUGAACCAAAUUUCAGGCUGCGGCCCAGCAUGAAAUUUGCUUCAGUCGCUUUCUGUACGCCAAGGUCGUCGGUUCGAUCCCGGCGUUGGCCA